AGAUCAUGCCAUUCCAAGUCUUCUCCAUACUUUUUUCUUCCCACCAUUCUGGUACAGGUUGAUCUUAGCUUCAUCUGCCCACAGAAUGCUGUCCCAGAACUGGGCAGGCUUUUUUUUUGAUUUUUUUUAGGAAAGUCCAAUUUGGCCUUUAUAGUCUAUCUCACGCCAACACCCAAAGUAUAGCCGCCUCUCCUGGGGACACUGCCGUCUG